rnacentral:rRNA from 1 species
UACAGAGGUCUCAAGCGUUGUUCGGAUUCAUUGGGCGUAAAGGGUGCGUAGGCGGCGCGGUAAGUCGGGUGUGAAAUCUCGGAGCUUAACUCCGAAACUGCAUUCGAUACUGCCGUGCUUGAGGACUGGAGAGGAGACUGGAAUUUACGGUGCAGCGGUGAAAUGCGCAGAUAUCAGGUGGAACACCGGUGGCGAAGGCGGGUCUCUGGGCCGAUACUGACGCUGAGGAGCGAAGGCCAGGGGAGCAAACGGG